ACACUCCUUUCUCCUUACAGGACCUGGGCCGUCUGAAGGCGUGCCUGUUCCCAUCAGGCUGAUUUUGUCCUCACUUCUCCGGGGUGGAUGUGAAUGGGCCCGGUGCGACUUCCUCCCCAGUCAUGCCAGACCGCAAAAUGCACCAGAAGGGUAUUAUAUUACUAACAGAAAUGAAAGUCUCCCUGAUCAAUGGCCGCUGUCUUUCAGGUCCUAGCAGAAAUCAAGUGAUUUAUUUGUCGCACCAUAGAGGAUAGAAGGACUACUGAUUUCCACGUUCCCUGGCCAGAUGGAGAAGCCGUGACACCUCGAUGUUUAUGUCAUUCCGCGGACAAUUCCUGGUGAUGAUUCGGAUAUAUCGAGAUCCCAUACUUGAAAAGGGCCACAUCGUCCAAGGAAUACAUUUUCAUUCCGUUGUGAAGGUGAUGUUGAUUUUUUCAUUGCUAUGUGUGUUUUACAUUCAUGCCCUUUAUGUGAUAAUAUAAUUACCGUAAUUCUGAGAUUGUUUGCUCAGUAAUUUUUUUGAAUCUGCUAAGCUUUUCUGUUAAAAACAUCCCUUUCCAUAAUUACUAAUAUUAAAUAUUACCAUGAUUACAAAUCUGCUCCCCCCCCCCACACAUCGUACGACACAGCAGAUUAUUCCGAUUACCCUCAGCGCCAGGAAUUACAGCCGCAGUAACCAAAUCACCUUGGGGAAAAUGCACGCGCCCCUUGUCGGCUCCCCGAUUGGCCGUUUAAAACAGCCAAACGAGCCGUGGCCGAGUCCUGGCUCUCUGUGUCGCUGGGUUUCUUCAUGCCGCAGUGACACGGUAUCCCGUUACCCCGAUUGCAUAAAUGCUACGAGGCCAUUUCCGCCUGUAGGUAUGUAAUGCAGGUAUCUCUUUACAAAGCCCCCCACUCCGGGCUGGCUGGGUGCCCCUGCAGAGCCUCAGAAAAUCCCUCAGCUCUUAAUCCCUUUAGCAACAAGGGUCUGCUUCUCUGCUUACCAUGAAGCAGACCACUGAGGCCGGGUGUAUGCCUUGGCCUGUAAACCAAAUGCCUCCUGUUUACAAUUUCCCUAUUCCUGUUUUUAAUGGUGCUCCGAGAGCGGCCACAAAGGGCUAGUUUUGUCCAGCAGGAACAAGGGAGCUAUUAGGGGAGAGACGGAGGA